rnacentral:rRNA from 1 species
GAUGAACGCUGGCGGCGUGCCUAAUACAUGCAAGUCGAGCGAACUUUUGGGAGCUUGCUCCCAAAAGUUAGCGGCGGACGGGUGAGUAACACGUGGGUAACCUGCCUGUAAGACUGGGAUAACUUCGGGAAACCGGAGCUAAUACCGGAUAACAUUGAAGACUACAUGGCCUUCAAUUAAAAGGUGGCUUUUAGCUACCACUUACAGAUGGACCCGCGGCGCAUUAGCUAGUUGGUGAGGUAACGGCUCACCAAGGCGACGAUGCGUAGCCGACCUGAGAGGGUGAUCGGCCGCACUGGGACGGAGACACGGCCCAGACUCCUACGGGAGGCAGCAGUAGGGAAUCUUCCGCAAUGGGCGGAAGUCUGACGGAGCAACGCCGCGUGAGCGAAGAAGGCCUUCGGGUCGUAAAGCUCUGUUGUUAGGGAAGAACAAGUAUCGUUCGAAUAGGGCGGUACAUUGACGGUACCUAACCAGAAAGCCACGGCUAACUACGUG